rnacentral:rRNA from 1 species
GAUGAACGCUGGCGGCGUGCCUAAUACAUGCAAGUCGAGCGAACGGACGAGAAGCUUGCUUCUCUGAUGUUAGCGGCGGACGGGUGAGUAACACGUGGAUAACCUACCUAUAAGACUGGGGUAACUUCGGGAGACCGGAGCUAAUACCGGAUAAUAUUUUGAACCGCAUGGUUCAAAAGUGAAAGACGGUCUUGCUGUCACUUAUAGAUGGAUCCGCGCUGCAUUAGCUAGUUGGUAAGGUAACGGCUUACCAAGGCAACGAUGCAUAGCCGACCUGAGAGGGUGAUCGGCCACACUGGAACUGAGACACGGUCCAGACUCCUACGGGAGGCAGCAGUAGGGAAUCUUCCGCAAUGGGCGAAAGCCUGACGGAGCAACGCCGCGUGAGUGAUGAAGGUCUUCGGAUCGUAAAACUCUGUUAUUAGGGAAGAACAUAUGUGUAAGUAACUGUGCACAUCUUGACGGUACCUAAUCAGAAAGCCACGGCUAACUACGUG